UCACCAGGUUGAUUCUGCCUGACGUGGACGCUAGCUUCAAGGAUUAAGCCAUGCAAGCCAGCGAAGGUAACGGAGCGGCGAACGGCUCAGUAAUACAGGUGAAUCUGACCACGAGGAUGGAUAACCACGGGAAACUGAGGCUAAUACAUUGUGGGUGAGCACCUGGCCUAUCAGCUAGUCGGUACGGUAAAUGCGUACCGAGGCGAUUACGGGUAACGGGGAAUCGGGGUUUGAUUCCGGAGAGGGAGCCUGAGAGAUGGCUGCCACGUCCAAGGACGGCAGCAGGCGCGAAACUUACCCACUUGGAGGACCAGAGGUAGUGACGAGGCGUGAUGAUGAGUUUACGGCAAAGAAGUAAACGAAAGCGACUGGAGGGCAAGUCUGGUGCCAGCAUCCGCGGUAA
rnacentral:rRNA from 1 species